AAAGCCAAAGGGAACGAGUUAUUUGCCAUCCCAUUGGUCUCCAGGGUAGAUUUAGCUGAUGUGGCUAGGUGGCCAGGUGUCCCCUUCCUCCCUCGGAGCUUGUGUAUGCCCCUCCUCAGCUGCGUCCUCAGUGGAAAAGAGCCACCCUCCCUGAUAGACCCUUCCCUUGUGGGCUUCUGAGCAGUUGUACUCUGGUACUAGAACCUCCAGACAAACUUUUAAGAAAUAAAAGGGUCACUGGGUGUAGAGCCUUGGGCAUGUGGCUCAGUGCUAAUGU
ensembl:misc_RNA 7SK 7SK RNA